AUGCUGGCAGCAUAUACACUAAAACUUAAAACAAUACAGAGAAGACUAGCAGGGCCUCUGCACAAAGAAGAUGCAAAUUUGUGAUGUGGUUCAUAUUUUU
rnacentral:snRNA from 1 species